CAGAGCUCCACAUUAAACCAGCAAUUGGUGGAGGUCAACCCUCCACUUCCGAGGAGCUGUGCCUGUCUCUGGAGUCCACCGGUUGCUCUCCCACGUCGACAUGGGCCGGGAGUUAAGGAAGUCCUCAGCUUCACAGGGAUGGUUAAACACACGGUAGUCCAUCCGUGUUUAAUCUUCAGGCUCGCCGGAAAAGAUGAGUUCCUCAUCACUUCAGGCCUUCUUCAUCAGCUGAGCAUCACAGACCAACAACACAGACAGUGUCCAUAGUCACCACGUCACCAACAGUGAAAACUUGUCAAAAAUGGAGAGAAUGUCUGAUAAAGAGGGGCUUUUGAAGAUACUGGAAGAAUUGUCAGAUAAGGAAUUCAAGAUGUUCCAGUGGUUCCUGCAGGAUUCUGACCUCCUGGUAGGAUUCCAGGCCAUCCCAAAGAACCAACUGGAAAACACAGACAGGAUUGACACAGUCGAUAAGAUCCUACAUCACUUCAGCCAUCAGUCUGUAGAAGUGGUGAAGAAGGUUUUAAAGCAUGUCGAUAGGAAUGAUCUGGUGGAGAAAUUUUAAAGCACCAGCCCAGGAGCACAAGGCAUGUUUCCAUGGAGACAAUCUGAGGCUUGUUCUUCGCCCAACACACUGUUGGAGGCCCAGCUCUCUCUAUAGACCCCUACCCCACCCCAGACCACCAGCCCCAGUGCAACCACACUGCCUGCAGUGAGGACCCCCCUGCUGUUUAAUGUCGAGUACACCAACUGAAGUCAGAUCAUGUUGAAUGUGAAUCAGUCUAAUAAAGUUCAAGUCAAACACAA